UUAACUCAAAUUUCUAUGGAGUUGGAACGUUCGCCUAAGUCGGUAGGAGCGCUCUUCCAAUUGCAUACAAAUUUGAGUUA
rnacentral:pre_miRNA from 1 species